GAACAUCAUGGUGUAGUGGUUUGAGUGUUGGACUAUGACUCUGAAGACCAGGGUUCAAGUCCCUGCUUGCCCA
rnacentral:tRNA from 1 species